rnacentral:rRNA from 1 species
AUUGAACGCUGGCGGCAGGCCUAACACAUGCAAGUCGAGCGGAGUGGCGGACGGGGGAGUAAUGCCUAGGAAUCUGCCUGGUAGUUGGGGAUAACGUCCAGAAACGGGCGCUAAUACCGCAUACUCUUAGCUGAGCCUAGGUCGGAUUAGCUAGGUGGUGUGGUAAAGGCCUACAAAGGCGACGAUCCGUAGCUGGUCUGAGAGGAUGAUCAGUCACACUGGAACUGAGACACGGUCCAGACUCCUACGGGAGGCAGCAGUGGGGAAUAUUGGACAAUGGGCGAAAGCCUGAUCCAGCCAUGCCGCGUGUGUGAAGAAGGUCUUCGGAUUGUAAAGCUCUUUAAGUUGGGAGGCGUUACCAACAGAAUAAGCACCGGCUAACUUCGUGCCAGCAGCCGCGGUAAUAC